CUAUACGGCCUCCUAGCUUUCU
rnacentral:ncRNA from 2 species